rnacentral:snRNA from 1 species
GUGCUCGCUUCAGCAGCACAUAUACUAAAAUUGGAACAAUACAGAGAUUGGCAUGGUCUCUGCGCAAGGAUGACAUGCAAAUUCGUGAAGCAUUCCAUGUUUUU